rnacentral:siRNA from 1 species
CCAUGAGUGCAAUGCCAUCAU